CCUGGCGCUCCUGAUGAAGUGAGCAUUUACAGCAUGGAAGGCUUCUCCCUCUCAGCAGACCCCGCUGGUCUGAGCCCAGAUGACCACUGCCUGCCACUGCCCUACUGGUUUGGUCCCGAUUUAGAUGGUGUGUUCUGUAAAUUACUGUGGUGACCAGGGGCUUGAACCCAGGACCUUGCACAUGGUAAUGUGUGCACUUAACCAGGUAUGCCACCAUCCAGCCCCAGCCUCCAAACUUCUGAAGAGGUCCCAUGCUCUAGGGCAUGCCAGCACAUCUUCCAGCACACCUGAGCUGCAUCACAUUAAGGGAAGCAUUACCUUUG